UACAGAGGCCUCGAGCGUUGUUCGGAAUUACUGGGCGUAAAGGGAAUGUAGGUGGUGACGUAAGUCAGAUGUGAAAGCCCUGGGCUUAACCUGGGAAGUGCAUUUGAUACUGCGUCGCUGGAGUACGAGAGAGGAAAGCGGAAUUCCAAGUGUAGGAGUGAAAUCCGUAGAUAUUUGGAGGAAUACCGAUGGCGAAGGCAGCUUUCUGGCUCGUAACUGACACUGAGAUUCGAAAGCGUUGGGUAGCAAACAGG
rnacentral:rRNA from 1 species